rnacentral:rRNA from 1 species
AGUGAACGCUGGCGGUAGGCCUAACACAUGCAAGUCGAACGGCAGCACAGUAAGAGCUUGCUCUUACGGGUGGCGAGUGGCGGACGGGUGAGGAAUACAUCGGAAUCUACUUUUUCGUGGGGGAUAACGUAGGGAAACUUACGCUAAUACCGCAUACGACCUACGGGUGAAAGCAGGGGAUCUUCGGACCUUGCGCGAUUGAAUGAGCCGAUGUCGGAUUAGCUAGUUGGCGGGGUAAAGGCCCACCAAGGCGACGAUCCGUAGCUGGUCUGAGAGGAUGAUCAGCCACACUGGAAGUGAGACACGGUCCAGACUCCUACGGGAGGCAGCAGUGGGGAAUAUUGGACAAUGGGGGGAAGCCUGAUCCAGCCAUACCGCGUGGGUGAAGAAGGCCUUCGGGUUGUAAAGCCCUUUUGUUGGGAAAGAAAAGCAGCAGGUUAAUACCCCGCUGUUCUGACGGUACCCAAAGAAUAAGCACCGGCUAACUUCGUG